AGAGUUUGAUCAUGGCUCAGAACGAACGCUGGCGGCGCGCCUAACACAUGCAAGUCGAACGCGAAAGGGAGCAAUCCUGAGUAAAGUGGCGCACGGGUGAGUAACGCGUAGGUGAUCUACCUCUGCGACCGGGAUAACCAGCCGAAAGGUUGGCUAAUACUGGAUAGAGCGCAUGGAGCAUAAUGCUUUGUGCGGGAAAG
rnacentral:rRNA from 1 species